AACCUUCAGAGUUCUCUUCCCCUGUCAGAUGGUCCAAGCAGCUGUAGUGACAACCAAUUCAGGAGUACAUAUCUAUCAGCUAGGUAGGUGGUUGUAUUAAAUGUGGAAGUUGCUAUGUGUUUGUAGAUCUUUAUUUUUUACAACUAACGUUGUACGUUUUGUUCUAAUGUAUUUGAAGUAAUGAGAAAAAAUUUUCUGUCCAGUUCAGAAGUUACCUAUUUGUGACUUGGAAUUACGAGCAAGAUAUUGGUAGACAAAUCUUCUGAUUGAAUAAUUUAUUUCUUCAUGGAAGCUCGUGAGCACAAAGCAGGAUACUCUAUCAGAAAAAAUACAUUUUACCCUAAGAUAGAGGCAGAAGUAAAGCACGUUUCAUACUUAAGUUCUUGUUUUGUGCUUUUAUAUAUUACUAAGGGUUGAAUGAGUGAAUAUUACGGCAUAACAUGUAAUAAAACCUUCACAGUAAAAUAUCCUCUUUUCAGAUCUCUGGAACUGCCAGUGAAGCUUCCUUUAACUGCACCAUCUAAUGCAAAACAGCAGGAUAGCCCAUCUGUAUGUGAAGUACUAAAUUCUUGUAAAAGUACCACUAUUUUGUCAAAGGAAGUACACUCAGAUAAACUCAGGUUUGCAUUAUCAUUGCCUUCUGAUAAAAAUAAUCAAAAGUCAAAUGAAAUAGACCAGGUGGAAGCAACUGUUGACACAAAUACAUUUUUAAAAGAAAAUCAGUUACGUACAGAACUAAAGUGCAACAGUGUCUUCCUGACUCAUGUCAAUAAUGCACAAUAUCAGAGACAGUCCGAGGAGCUUACAAAACAGUAUACUGGUAGUUCAUUGCCAUUCUGUGGAAACGUAACUGAAAGAAAGAAACAUACAGCACAUGAUAAGUCAAAAACUCAACAUAAUAUAAAGGAUUUUGAUAAAAAAUGCAGCUCAAAUAGUCUGCUUCAUUGUGGUAUUAAUAGCAGCAGCAACACCAAUGACAUGAGCUGUCACGCAAGAUCCAGUGACUUGUCUCACAGUAUUCCUUCACCUCUUCAGCUUAGCAGUGAAUGUAACAUAGAUUUUAAGAUUUCUGUGGACAAGAUUAAACCUGAAGAAACUGUUUAUGAUGCCGAUAUGGAGUUGACUGCUAGUGAUGUAGGUGAACUACUCACAGUUACAUCAAAAGAUAAACUGCACCAAAAUAAAAAUAGUAAUGCCAAUUCUGGUGAAACAUCAGCAAAUUUCAGAAGAGUAAAAUAUUCUAAGGAGAAAACUAAAAGCAAGCCUAAAGUAAGUUCAGAUUUUUAUGCAGAAGAAACUUGCUCUAAGGCUAACAGUAGUACAGAUUCAAAAACUAACGACUUGGCAACUCAAAUGUUCCAAAACCAGACAGAACAGCUACCUACAGGGAAUUCUUUAGAGAAACAGAGUUUAAAGAAUACCAGCAAAUAUUAUCAAGCACAGGAUUGUCCAAGUAAAGCUAAAGAUACUAGGAGGACAUACCUGGUUAACCUAGUGAGUCCAAGGAAACAAGAACAGGAGACAAAUCAAGACACUUGUCCAGAAAGGUCUGAAGAUAUGGAAAACAAAAUACAAGAAGCAGACUCUAACUCACCUAAUAAUAAGAUCCCACCUGAAAUUUAUUGUGCUGAAAGUUUUCCAUUCAAGGAUAACACCUCUAAUGCAUUGUCUUUACAGCAGGACUUUCUACAUACAAAUGAGAAACAUAUCAACCCAGAAAUGAACAGGAAAGCCUUUCAGAACCCUUCUAAAAAGAAGGCAACAAAACAUUUUAGAGAGGAAAAUGGACAGUAUAGAGAAUAUGGUUCAAAAAAGUCUCAAACAGAGAUAAGCCAACAUGAGUGGAAGAGAAAAGAGCAGAAGAAUAUUAUAAAGAAUAAAUACAACCGAAAAAGUAGUCACAGACAAAGUGGAGAAACUGAAAGUGACAGUGUUCAUAAAAUUAUUCAGAAAAUAGACCGAAGGAGUAAUAAAGUUUCACCAGGCAGAUUAAAACGUACAUUGGCAAAAGCUAGCCGGAAAGCGUGUAUAAUACCAACAGAAAACCUUAGGCAAUUCACACUGCUUAGAAAUGAAGGGUUAAAAAAUAAAAAUGUAUUGCACACAGAUGUUAUCCAUGGAAAUAAAAUAGCUAAAAUGCAGCAAAUACAAGGAGCUUUAGAUUUUCAGAAUGGUGAAGCUAUGAAUGCACUGCAAGCUAGUUCCUCCACAAAGCAAGUGGUUGAUAACAAUACUGACACGUUAAAGAAAGAGGUAGAUUCCUCAUCAGGGGCACAUAGAAAGCCUAACCUUAUUAAUUCUCCUGAUGAUCAGGUAAAGAAUAAAGGGAGCUUUAUUUCUGAUUUUACUGAGAUCAGACCAGAAAAAAAGGUUUUCGGGCAUAUUGACCAGGGGAAGCAGAAUAUUUUGGACAACCAGAAAGUCCCGCCUGAGACAGGUUCCUUUAAGAGCAAGUUAAAGCCUACAGUUCAAAAAUCAGAAUUUUUGAAAUUCUUACCUGUAAACUGUUCUGAGAAUAUGCCAUUAAGUUCAGGUAGAUUUUUCCAGGAAGGUCUUCCCCAUGUGGAGCUCCCAGUUGUUGAUUACCUUAACGUUUCAGUUAACGUCUCUAGCCUGAAAAACUCUGAAUUCUGUGGAAAAAAUGAUCAUGCUAAAACACUGGAUGCUGAAAUAGCAGAGCAAAAACUGGAUCAUACUUACAAAGAAACUUAUAAACAGUCUCUGACACCUUGUCAUGGGAGAAAGGCUUUGCAGGAUCUGACAAAUACCACCAUACGUUCUCACGCUUCCUUACCUAAAUCUCCCAAAACUUUAGAAGAAAAUUUAGCAGCACGAGCUAGACGAAGAAGAACCAGUAUUUGCUACAAAGAACCCAAUCUAAACAGUUGCAGUGUCAGUUGAGCUGAUUUUCUUUGUAAGUGGGAGAAAAGUAAGUCUUUUUUUCUUUUAUACUGCUUUUUAUAUUAAAUGAAUCAAGAGAAGUUCUAAAUAGAGUUCUCAUUUAUUAAGAACCUUUUAGCAAAAGCAGAUUUUACAGUGAGCUUUUGUAGUUACACAAAAGAGAAUAAAAUACUGUAUCAUAAAGGAUAAAU
ensembl:lncRNA